rnacentral:rRNA from 1 species
GUGCCAGCCGCCGCGGUAAUACAGAGGGUGCAAACGUUGCUCGGAAUCAUUGGGCGUAAAGCGCGUGUAGGCGGCUCGUUAAGUCGGUUGUGAAAACCCAUGGCUCAACCAUGGAAGGGCGUCCGAAACUGGCGAGCUAGAGUCCCGACGAGGAUGGCGGAAUUCCCAGUGUAGAGGUGAAAUUCGUAGAUAUUGGGAGGAACACCGGUGGCGAAGGCGGCCAUCUGGGAGGGCACUGACGCUGAGACGCGAAAGCGUGGGGAGCAAACAGGAUUAGAAACCCUGGUAGUCC